rnacentral:rRNA from 1 species
UACGAAGGGGGCUAGCGUUGCUCGGAAUCACUGGGCGUAAAGAGUAUGUAGGCGGUUGCGUAAGUUCGGUGUGAAAUCUCCCGGCUUAACUGGGAGGGUGCGCCGAAAACUGCGUGGCUAGAGUGCGGGAGAGGAGAGCGGAAUCCUGGUGUAGCGGUGAAAUGCGUAGAUAUCAGGAGGAACACCGGCGGUGUAGACGGCUCUCUGGACCGUUACUGACGCUGAGAUACGAAAGCGUGGGUAGCAAACAGG